UAACGCGUGAGGAACCUGCCUCAAAGAGGGGGACAAUAGUUGGAAACGACUGCUAAUACCGCAUAAGCCCACGGCUCGGCAUCGAGCAGAGGGAAAAGGAGCAAUCCGCUUUGAGAUGGCCUCGCGUCCGAUUAGCUAGUUGGUGAGGUAACGGCCCACCAAGGCGACGAUCGGUAGCCGGACUGAGAGGUUGAACGGCCACAUUGGGACUGAGACACGGCCCAGACUCCUACGGGAGGCAGCAGUGGGGAAUAUUGCACAAUGGGGGAAACCCUGAUGCAGCGACGCCGCGUGGAGGAAGAAGGUCUUCGGAUUGUAAACUCCUGUUGUUGAGGAAGAUWAUGACGGUACUCAACAAGGAAGUGACGGCUAACUACGUGCCAGCAGCCGCGGUAAAACGUAGGUCACAAGCGUUGUCCGGAAUUACUGGGUGUAAAGGGAGCGCAGGCGGGAGAACAAGUUGGAAGUGAAAUCCAUGGGCUCAACCCAUGAACUGCUUUCAAAACUGUUUUUCUUGAGUAGUGCAGAGGUAGGCGGAAUUCCCGGUGUAGCGGUGGAAUGCGUAGAUAUCGGGAGGAACACCAGUGGCGAAGGCGGCCUACUGGGCACCAACUGACGCUGAGGCUCGAAAGUGUGGGUAGCAAACAGGAUUAGAUACCCUGGUAGUCCACACCGUAAACGAUGAUUACUAGGUGU
rnacentral:rRNA from 1 species